rnacentral:rRNA from 1 species
CCAGACUCCUACGGGAGGCAGCAGUGAGGAAUAUUGGUCAAUGGGCGCGAGCCUGAACCAGCCAAGUCGCGUGAGGGAAGACGGUCCUAUGGAUUGUAAACCUCUUUUGUCGGGGAGCAAAAGACGCCACGCGUGGCGUUCCGAGAGUACCCGAAGAAAAAGCAUCGGCUAACUCCGUGCCAGCAGCCGCGGUAAUACGGAGGAUGCGAGCGUUUUCCGGAUUUAUUGGGUUUAAAGGGUGCGCCGGCGGGAAGCUAAGGUCGGCGUGAAAAUGGGGGGCCCAACCCUGUCCGAGCCGUUGAAACUGGUUUUCUUGAGUGAGUGAGAAGUAUGCGGAAUGCGUGGUGUAGCGGUGAAAUGCAUAGAUAUCACGCAGAACUCCGAUUGCGAAGGCAGCAUACCGGCGCUCAACUGACGCUGAUGCACGAAAGUGUGGGUAUCGAACAGGAUUAGAUACCCCAGUA